rnacentral:tRNA from 1 species
GCAUUGGUGGCUCAGUGGUAGAAUUCUCGCCUCCCACACAGGAGCCCUGGGUCCGAUUCCUGGCCAAUGCA